rnacentral:rRNA from 1 species
UUAGAGUUUGAUCCUGGCUCAGGAUGAACGCUAGCUACAGGCUUAACACAUGCAAGUCGAGGGGAAACGACAUCGAAAGCUUGCUUUUGAUGGGCGUCGACCGGCGCACGGGUGAGUAACGCGUAUCCAACCUGCCCAUCACUUGGGGAUAACCUUGCGAAAGUAAGACUAAUACCCAAUGAUAUCCCACGAAGGCAUCCGAAUGGGAUUAAAGAUUUAUCGGUGAUGGAUGGGGAUGCGUCUGAUUAGCUUGUUGGCGGGGUAACGGCCCACCAAGGCGACGAUCAGUAGGGGUUCUGAGAGGAAGGUCCCCCACAUUGGAACUGAGACACGGUCCAAACUCCUACGGGAGGCAGCAGUGAGGAAUAUUGGUCAAUGGGCGAGAGCCUGAACCAGCCAAGUAGCGUGCAGGAUGACGGCCCUAUGGGUUGUAAACUGCUUUUAUAAGGGAAUAAAGUGAGUCUCGUGAGGCUUUUUGCAUGUACCUUAUGAAUAAGGACCGGCUAAUUCCGUGCCAGCAGCCGCGGUAAUACGGAAGGUCCGGGCGUUAUCCGGAUUUAUUGGGUUUAAAGGGAGCGUAGGCCGGAGAUUAAGCGUGUUGUGAAAUGUAGUGGCUCAACCUCUGCACUGCAGCGCGAACUGGUCUUCUUGAGUACGCACAACGUGGGCGGAAUUCGUGGUGUAGCGGUGAAAUGCUUAGAUAUCACGAAGAACUCCGAUUGCGAAGGCAGCUCACGGGAGCGCAACUGACGCUGAAGCUCGAAAGUGCGGGUAUCGAACAGGAUUAGAUACCCUGGUAGUCCGCACGGUAAACGAUGGAUGCCCGCUGUUGGCCUGAAUAGGUCAGCGGCCAAGCGAAAGCAUUAAGCAUCCCACCUGGGGAGUACGCCGGCAACGGUGAAACUCAAAUGAAUUGACGGAAG